UUGGUGAGGUAAUGGCUCACCAAGGCGACGAUCCGUAACUGGUCUGAGAGGAUGAUCAGUCACACCGGAACUGAGACACGGUCCGGACUCCUACGGGAGGCAGCAGUGGGGAAUCUUGGACAAUGGGCGCAAGCCUGAUCCAGCCAUGCCGCGUGUGUGAAGAAGGCCUUUUGGUUGUAAAGCACUUUAAGCAGGGAGGAGAGGCUAAUGGUUAAUACCCAUUAGAUUAGACGUUACCUGCAGAAUAAGCACCGGCUAACUCUGUGCCAGCAGCCGCGGUAAUACAGAGGGUGCGAGCGUUAAUCGGAAUUACUGGGCGUAAAGCGAGUGUAGGUGGCUCAUUAAGUCACAUGUGAAAUCCCCGGGCUUAACCUGGGAACUGCAUGUGAUACUGGUGGUGCUAGAAUAUGUGAGAGGGAAGUAGAAUUCCAGGUGUAGCGGUGAAAUGCGUAGAUAUCUGAAGGAACAUCAGUGGCGAAAGCGACUUCCUGGACGAAUACUGACGCUCAUGUGCGAAAGCGUGGGGAGCAAACAGGAUU
rnacentral:rRNA from 14 species